AUAUCAUAAACAUAGUACAGAUUACUGUUAAGACUAGAAGGGAGUGCAAUCAAUUCCUAAUUAAGUUGAAGCUCAAAAAAUUUGCAUCUAGAAUCCUCAUUUCGCGUGUGCAUCAACAGACAUAUAAUACAAGCACGAUUAUUCAUUUGAGCGCUCUUUAUUUGAAGUAACUUUUGGCAUAUGACUAUAUUAGAUUAGAUGUUGGUACCCGAGGAAAAAGUUCAUGUUAUCUUGCCAGCUAAGAAAAGCAAGGAGUAAUCAUUUUAAAUCAUUUUUAGGUAUAUUUGGUUUUAUUUUUUCUCCAGAAUUUGUGCACUUCGCAAUUGGAAAUCAAACAUGUCGUUUCCAGAUUUAUUGAAUGGCAAACUCUCAGGUGAAGAAUGAUAAAACUUGCUGACAAGCUUAAGCAGAAAAAGUAGUUCUCAACAAAUACAGGAUUCAGGCCUCAAUUGACAGUGUGAAUCUGGAAAAGGGAGGGAUGAAUGCUUGGUAGCAUUGUAAAUCUAGCAAGAAAAAUUGCUGAAGCAGCAAUCAUUGAUGGCAAGAACCUCACACAGAUAUAAUCUAGCAAGCUUAGCUCCGCCAGUUAGAGCAGACAAAAGAGAUUAACCAAGGCAAAGGCAAAGACUGACCAAGACAGUGGGGUGGGAGGAAGAAGGAACUAAUAAGGUUCAGAUGAGCAUACGCAGCUACAAGCAUGCUGGAUACACCAAGGAGUUGAAGUUUCGUCCUCGACAAAGCAUGUGAGGAUAGGAAUCUAUCUAUGUAGUUCACAGUCAGAUAAAGAGUAUCAGAGACAAGUUUGUAUUCAUCAACAACCUCCACCAGCCAAUCAACUAGAAUUUCUCGCAUAGUUGGUGUUAUGUCUUUCUGAACCUUCUCCAUGUAAUUGUGCAACGGCCUUCUGUUUCCUUCCACCUAUAUCAUAAGAGCUAGACUAGUAUGAGAUUUUUAUCGAUCUGAACUAAUGAUAACAUACUAAGAGAGGAUGAAUCACUAUGUA